rnacentral:rRNA from 1 species
AGUGGGGAAUAUUGGACAAUGGGCGCAAGCCUGAUCCAGCCAUGCCGCGUGAGUGAUGAAGGCCUUAGGGUUGUAAAGCUCUUUUACCAGGGAAGAUAAUGACGGUACCUGGAGAAUAAGCCCCGGCUAACUUCGUGCCAGCAGCCGCGGUAAUACGAAGGGGGCUAGCGUUGCUCGGAAUCACUGGGCGUAAAGCGCACGUAGGUGGGUCGUUAAGUCAGGGGUGAAAUCCCGGAGCUCAACUCCGGAACUGCCUUUGAUACUGGCGAUCUUGGAGUCCGGGAGAGGUGAGUGGAACUGCGAGUGUAGAGGUGAAAUUCGUAGAUAUUCGCAAGAACACCAGUGGCGAAGGCGGCUCACUGGCCCGGUACUGACACUGAGGUGCGAAAGCGUGGGGAGCAAA